CAGCUAGUGGCGUCAGUUGUGGUGUGAGGUGCACGUUACAUUCAGUGGUUUCUCGAACAAAUUUUGGUGGCCACGAUCAAAAAGGAGUGCCUGCCAGGAGUGUUCUCAUCAGUCCAGCAAGUGCGUUGAAUAGAUAGACGCUGAGCCAUGCAGCGCCUCUCCUAUAUGGUACAGCGCGUCUUGGCGGGGAUGUUACUUUGGUGAGCUCUUACAACUCUCCCGCAACUGUUCAUCGCUGGCAGUAAGAGGAUCACUACAUCCAUCCCCAUCUCUGAAGGACAGUGUAUGAUGUGAGCAGUGCAGACGCAGAUUGUUCUGGUCACGUGCAACACGGGCUGUCUGCCGCUGGCUGAGCUGCACGCCGACACAGUCCAGAGGCAGGC